GGGUUGUGAGGUUAAGCGACUAAGCGUACACGGUGGAUGCCCUGGCAGUCAGAGGCGAUGAAGGGCGUGCUAAUCUGCGAUAAGCGCCGGUAAGGUGAUAUGAACCGUUAUAACCGGCGAUACCCGAAUGGGGAAACCCAGUGUGAUUCGUCACACUAUCAUUAACUGAAUCCAUAGGUUAAUGAGGCGAACCGGGGGAACUGAAACAUCUAAGUACCCCGAGGAAAAGAAAUCAACCGAGAUUCCCCCAGUAGCGGCGAGCGAACGGGGAGGAGCCCAGAGCCUGAAUCAGCAUGUGUGUUAGUGGAAGCGUCUGGAAAGGCGCGCGAUACAGGGUGACAGCCCCGUACACAAAAGCGCAUGUGCUGUGAGCUCGAUGAGUAGGGCGGGACACGUGGUAUCCUGUCUGAAUAUGGGGGGACCAUCCUCCAAGGCUAAAUACUCCUGACUGACCGAUAGUGAACCAGUACCGUGAGGGAAAGGCGAAAAGAACCCCGGCGAGGGGAGUGAAAAAGAACCUGAAACCGUGUACGUACAAGCAGUGGGAGCNNGUGACUGCGUACCUUUUGUAUAAUGGGUCAGCGACUUAUAUUCUGUAGCAAGGUUAACCGAAUAGGGGAGCCGGAGGGAAACCGAGUCUUAAUUGGGCGUUAAGUUGCAGGGUAUAGACCCGAAACCCGGUGAUCUAGCCAUGGGCAGGUUGAAGGUUGGGUAACACUAACUGGAGGACCGAACCGACUAAUGUUGAAAAAUUAGCGGAUGACCUGUGGCUGGGGGUGAAAGGCCAAUCAAACCGGGAGAUAGCUGGUUCUCCCCGAAAGCUAUUUAGGUAGCGCCUCGUGAAUUCAUCUCCGGGGGUAGAGCACUGUUUCGGCUAGGGGGCCAUCCCGGCUUACCAACCCGAUGCAAACUGCGAAUACCGGAGAAUGUUAUCACGGGAGACACACGGCGGGUGCUAACGUCCGUCGUGAAGAGGGAAACAACCCAGACCGCCAGCUAAGGUCCCAAAGUCAUGGUUAAGUGGGAAACGAUGUGGGAAGGCCCAGACAGCCAGGAUGUUGGCUUAGAAGCAGCCAUCAUUUAAAGAAAGCGUAAUAGCUCACUGGUCGAGUCGGCCUGCGCGGAAGAUGUAACGGGGCUAAACCAUGCACCGAAGCUGCGGCAGCGAUGUUGGGUAGGGGAGCGUUCUGUAAGCCUGUGAAGGUGUGUCGUGAGGCAUGCUGGAGGUAUCAGAAGUGCGAAUGCUGACAUAAGUAACGAUAAAGCGGGUGAAAAGCCCGCUCGCCGGAAGACCAAGGGUUCCUGUCCAACGUUAAUCGGGGCAGGGUGAGUCGACCCCUAAGGCGAGGCCGAAAGGCGUAGUCGAUGGGAAACGGGUUAAUAUUCCCGUACUUGGUGUUACUGCGAAGGGGGGACGGAGAAGGCUAUGUUGGCCGGGCGACGGUUGUCCCGGUUUAAGCGUGUAGGUGUGUGUUCCAGGUAAAUCCGGUUCACUUUAACACUGAGGCGUGAUGACGAGGCACUACGGUGCUGAAGUAACAAAUGCCCUGCUUCCAGGAAAAGCCUCUAAGCAUCAGGUAACAUCAAAUCGUACCCCAAACCGACACAGGUGGUCAGGUAGAGAAUACCAAGGCGCUUGAGAGAACUCGGGUGAAGGAACUAGGCAAAAUGGUGCCGUAACUUCGGGAGAAGGCACGCUGACACGUAGGUGAAGUGAUUUACUCAUGGAGCUGAAGUCAGUCGAAGAUACCAGCUGGCUGCAACUGUUUAUUAAAAACACAGCACUGUGCAAACACGAAAGUGGACGUAUACGGUGUGACGCCUGCCCGGUGCCGGAAGGUUAAUUGAUGGGGUCAGCGCAAGCGAAGCUCCUGAUCGAAGCCCCGGUAAACGGCGGCCGUAACUAUAACGGUCCUAAGGUAGCGAAAUUCCUUGUCGGGUAAGUUCCGACCUGCACGAAUGGCGUAAUGAUGGCCAGGCUGUCUCCACCCGAGACUCAGUGAAAUUGAACUCGCUGUGAAGAUGCAGUGUACCCGCGGCAAGACGGAAAGACCCCGUGAACCUUUACUAUAGCUUGACACUGAACAUUGAGCCUUGAUGUGUAGGAUAGGUGGGAGGCUUUGAAGUGUGGACGCCAGUCUGCAUGGAGCCGACCUUGAAAUACCACCCUUUAAUGUUUGAUGUUCUAACGUGGACCCGUUACCCGGGUUGCGGACAGUGUCUGGUGGGUAGUUUGACUGGGGCGGUCUCCUCCUAAAGAGUAACGGAGGAGCACGAAGGUUGGCUAAUCCUGGUCGGACAUCAGGAGGUUAGUGCAAUGGCAUAAGCCAGCUUGACUGCGAGCGUGACGGCGCGAGCAGGUGCGAAAGCAGGUCAUAGUGAUCCGGUGGUUCUGAAUGGAAGGGCCAUCGCUCAACGGAUAAAAGGUACUCCGGGGAUAACAGGCUGAUACCGCCCAAGAGUUCAUAUCGACGGCGGUGUUUGGCACCUCGAUGUCGGCUCAUCACAUCCUGGGGCUGAAGUAGGUCCCAAGGGUAUGGCUGUUCGCCAUUUAAAGUGGUACGCGAGCUGGGUUUAGAACGUCGUGAGACAGUUCGGUCCCUAUCUGCCGUGGGCGCUGGAGAACUGAGGGGGGCUGCUCCUAGUACGAGAGGACCGGAGUGGACGCAUCACUGGUGUUCGGGUUGUCAUGCCAAUGGCACUGCCCGGUAGCUAAAUGCGGAAGAGAUAAGUGCUGAAAGCAUCUAAGCACGAAACUUGCCCCGAGAUGAGUUCUCCCUGAGACUUAAAGUCUCCUGAAGGAACGUUGAAGACGACGACGUUGAUAGGCCGGGUGUGUAAG
rnacentral:rRNA from 1 species